rnacentral:lncRNA from 1 species
UAGGGACUCGAAGUUUUAAGACACUGGGAAAUGAACAGAAUAAAAGGAGGGCCUUGGCAAUGUGAAGACUUAAAUAAAGAGUCAUCAGAGUCCAGUGGCAACAUGAAAGUGGAGGAUGAAUAUUGGAAAGCUCCUUUCAGAUUAUCUAAUGUUUAAGGAUGACAACUAAGGAAUUCUCAUCAUUUCCUACUUAUCUAUUUACUUGAAUUUCAUCAUCUCUGAAAAUUCAUCAUUCUGCAAGAUGAAAUAAAUUCAUAUAGUUUCUCA